UACGAAGGGGGCUAGCGUUGUUCGGAAUUACUGGGCGUAAAGCGCACGUAGGCGGCUUUCUAAGUCAGAGGUGAAAUCCUGGAGCUCAACUCCAGAACUGCCUUUGAUACUGGAGAGCUUGAGUCCGGAAGAGGUGAGUGGAACUCCGAGUGUAGAGGUGAAAUUCGUAGAUAUUCGCAAGAACACCAGUGGCGAAGGCGGCUCACUGGUCCGGUACUGACGCUGAGGUGCGAAAGCGUGGGGAGCAAACAGG
rnacentral:rRNA from 1 species